AACUUGAGUUUGUGUGGGUAAAAGACAAGUAGGACGACCUGCGGACGGCUCAUUAUAACAGUAAUAGUUUCUUUGGUUAGUAAAGUACAAGGAUAGCUUUGUGAAUGAUAAAGAUAAUACUUGAGACGAUCCAAUUUGUAUUAGUACAAAGUGGCCAAUUUAUGUAAGUAAAUUGAGAAAUGACAUUCUAAGUGAGUUAGGAUGCCACGACAAUUGUAGAACACACAGUGUUUAACAAGUAACCAAUGAGAUUUCUGAUCUAUCAAUCAGUUGGUAGUAUCGAGGACUACCAGAUUAUAAGGAUAACGAGGAAUUGGGGUCGACAUCGAAAGGGAGCUUACAGAUGCUACCACUCUAAGGAAGGAGCAGGCCUAAUUACCACUUCGAUUGAAAGUAGUGACGCCCUACUCUAAUUAGUAAAUCAUUCUGAAGAAGAUAGAGUAA
rnacentral:rRNA from 1 species